rnacentral:ncRNA from 1 species
AUAACGACAAGGAACAAGUGAAGUAGCGUUGCAAGUCGCUUCAAGAGACCCGGCGGAAGGUGCGAGCCGGGACGACCGCAACCGCGAAUUUACGCUUGGGAGUCUCUGCGCAGUCCGCAGACGGUGAAUCCGUUAUCUUCCCAAGCGCACUUUCGAGUGAACUAAGGUGGUACCGCGGUUGUCAAAAUCGUCCUUGCA